rnacentral:misc_RNA from 1 species
UGAUGAUUUCACCUCAACUUUCAGCCCAUUUCGCUGAGCAGUUCCUAUCUCAAUUUCACUAACACCUGUACCAUAUAUCUCUCCACCGAUUGAACACUUGAAAAACUCCAUCAAGUUCCUCGUAAGCGUUCCAGUUUUGUCAGAGAAUAUGUAUUCCACCUGCCCAAGUUCCUCAUUCAAAUUAGAUGUCCUAGCCUGAGCAGCGGUAUUACUCUCAGCAUGGUACAUGUGCAAGUCGUUAUUGAUGAAUUUAUUGGAUUGUACAAAUUUAAUCAUCUCAACGGAGACAUAGAGAGAGAUUGGAAUAAUCGGUGAAUACAAAGUGAUUAAGGUGAACAUGGUCAAAACUGCAACCACAAAUCUAUUGUCCGGGUCAGACUGUGGAUCCG